rnacentral:rRNA from 1 species
GAUGAACGCUGGCUACAGGCUUAACACAUGCAAGUCGAGGGGAAACGCCGGGGAAGCUUGCUUCCCCGGGCGUCGACCGGCGCACGGGUGAGUAACGCGUAUCCAACCUGCCUCUGACUGAGGGAUAACCCGUCGAAAGUCGGCCUAAUACCUCAUGGCAUCGUCUGCGGGCAUCCAACGACGAUUAAAGAUUUCAUCGGUCAGGGAUGGGGAUGCGUCUGAUUAGCUAGUUGGCGGGGUAACGGCCCACCAAGGCGACGAUCAGUAGGGGUUCUGAGAGGAAGGUCCCCCACAUUGGAACUGAGACACGGUCCAAACUCCUACGGGAGGCAGCAGUGAGGAAUAUUGGUCAAUGGGCGAGAGCCUGAACCAGCCAAGUAGCGUGCAGGAUGACGGCCCUAUGGGUUGUAAACUGCUUUUAUGCGGGGAGAAAGUGAGGGACGUGUCCUUCAUUGCAGGUACCGCAUGAAUAAGGACCGGCUAAUUCCGUG